rnacentral:rRNA from 1 species
AGAGUUCGAUCCUGGCUCAGGAUGAACGCUGGCGGCGCGCCUAACACAUGCAAGUCGAACGGCACCCACCUUCGGGUGGAAGCGAGUGGCGAACGGCUGAGUAACACGUGGAGAACCUGCCCCCUCCCCCGGGAUAGCCGCCCGAAAGGACGGGUAAUACCGGAUACCCCGGGGUGCCGCAUGGCACCCCGGCUAAAGCCCCGACGGGAGGGGAUGGCUCCGCGGCCCAUCAGGUAGACGGCGGGGUGACGGCCCACCGUGCCGACAACGGGUAGCCGGGUUGAGAGACCGACCGGCCAGAUUGGGACUGAGACACGGCCCAGACUCCUACGGGAGGCAGCAGUGGGGAAUCUUGCGCAAUGGGGGGAACCCUGACGCAGCGACGCCGCGUGCGGGACGGAGGCCUUCGGGUCGUAAACCGCUUUCAGCAGGGAAGAGUCAAGACUGUACCUGCAGAAGAAGCCCCGGCUAACUACGUGCCAGCAGCCGCGGUAAUACGUAGGGGGCGAGCGUUAUCCGGAUUCAUUGGGCGUAAAGCGCGCGUAGGCGGCCCGGCAGGCCGGGGGUCGAAGCGGGGGGCUCAACCCCCCGAAGCCCCCGGAACCUCCGCGGCUUGGGUCCGGUAGGGGAGGGUGGAACACCCGGUGUAGCGGUGGAAUGCGCAGAUAUCGGGUGGAACACCGGUGGCGAAGGCGGCCCUCUGGGCCGAGACCGACGCUGAGGCGCGAAAGCUGGGGGAGCGAACAGGAUUAGAUACCCUGGUAGUCCCAGCCGUAAACGAUGGACGCUAGGUGUGGGGGGACGAUCCCCCCGUGCCGCAGCCAACGCAUUAAGCGUCCCGCCUGGGGAGUACGGCCGCAAGGCUAAAACUCAAAGGAAUUGACGGGGGCCCGCACAAGCAGCGGAGC